AGCUUUGCACAGUGGCAGUAUUGUAGCCCAUGAGGUUUAUCUGAGGCCCGAUUAUGGCUAGUUGAAAACUUUUCCCAGUACCCUGCCAUGAUGAUUUAAAAUAUAGUCAGCAGGAGCAAUUUUUGCAGUCUGUUUUGAAACUG
ensembl:snRNA U4 U4 spliceosomal RNA